AUUGAACGCUGGCGGCAUGCUUUACACAUGCAAGUCGAACGGUAACAGGCCGCAAGGUGCUGACGAGUGGCGAACGGGUGAGUAAUGCAUCGGAACGUGCCCAGUCGUGGGGGAUAACGCAGCGAAAGCUGCGCUAAUACCGCAUACGAUCUAUGGAUGAAAGCGGGGGACCGUAAGGCCUCGCGCGAUUGGAGCGGCCGAUGUCAGAUUAGGUAGUUGGUGGGGUAAAGGCUCACCAAGCCAACGAUCUGUAGCUGGUCUGAGAGGACGACCAGCCACACUGGGACUGAGACACGGCCCAGACUCCUACGGGAGGCAGCAGUGGGGAAUUUUGGACAAUGGGCGCAAGCCUGAUCCAGCAAUGCCGCGUGCAGG
rnacentral:rRNA from 1 species